ensembl:snRNA U4 U4 spliceosomal RNA
AGCUUUGCGCAGUGGCAGUAUUGUAGCCCAUGAGGUUUAUCCAAGGCGUGAUUAUUACUAAUUGAAAACUUUUCCCAGUACCCCACCAUGACUACUUGCAACAUAGUCAGCACUGGCAAUUUUGACAGUCUCUAUGGAGA